rnacentral:tRNA from 1 species
UAAAAAGAAGCGAUAAUCGCAUUCAGUUUCGGCCUGACGUUAGGAAACUCCCUUUUUAC